rnacentral:rRNA from 1 species
AACGAACGCUGGCGGCAGGCUUAACACAUGCAAGUCGAACGCGUCCUUCGGGACGAGUGGCAGACGGGUGAGUAACGCGUGGGAACCUACCUUUUGGUACGGAAUAACUCAGGGAAACUUGAGCUAAUACCGUAUGUGCCCUGUACUUUAACGGGAUUUGGGGAAAGAUUUAUCGCAACAGGAUGGGCCCGCGUCGGAUUAGCUAGUUGGUGGUGUAAUGGCCUACCAAGGCGACGAUCCGUAGCUGGCCUGCAGAGAGGAUGCUCCGCCACACUGGGACUGAGACACGGCCCAGACUCCUACGGGAGGCAGCAGUGUGGAAUAUUGGACAAUGGGGGCAACCCUGAUCCAGCCAUGCCGCGUGAGUGAUGAAGGCCUUAGGGUUGUAAAGCUCUUUCGCCGGUGAAGAUAAUGACGGUAACCGGAGAAGAAGCCCCGGCUAACUUCGUGCCAGCAGCCGCAGUAAAAC